rnacentral:rRNA from 1 species
AUCCAGACUCCUACGGGAGGCAGCAGUGGGGGAUAUUGCACAAUGGGGGGAACCCUGAUGCAGCGACGCCGCGUGGGUGAAGAAGCGCCUCGGCGCGUAAAGCCCUGUCAGCAGGGAAGAAAAUGACGGUACCUGAAGAAGAAGCCCCGGCUAACUACGUGCCAGCAGCCGCGGUAAUACGGAGGGUGCAAGCGUUACUCGGAAUCACUGGGCGUAAAGAGCGCGUAGGCGGGAUAGCAAGUCAGAUGUGAAAACCAUGGGCUCAACCUGUGGCCUGCAUUUGAAACUGUUUUUCUUGAGUACUGGAGAGGCAGACGGAAUUCCUAGUGUAGCGGUGAAAUGCGUAGAUAUUAGGAGGAACACCAGUGGCGAGGGCGGUCUGCUGGACAGCAACUGACGCUGAGGCGCGAAAGCGUGGGGAGCAAACAGGAUUAGAUACCCUAGUAUA